GUGUGGGGGUGUUUGUUCAACUAGUGGACGAAGGUAGGUUAGGCAGGAACAAAAAGAAAUCCUCUUUUGUAGGGCAGAAUUCAUUGUUCAGUGUGAGUUUUGAUGUAUACAAGGAAAAAUAUA